GAGCACGUAGGUGGGUUUGUAAGUCAGAUGUGAAAGCCUUCUGUUCAACGGAAGAAUUGCAUCUGAAACUGCGAGUCUUGAGUGUAGGAGGGGAGAAUGGAACUUCUGGUGGAGCGGUGAAAUGCGUAGAUAUCAGAAGGAACGCCGGCGGCGAAAGCGAUUCUCUGGCCUAUUACUGACACUCAGUGUGCGAAAGCUAGGGGAGCAAACGGGAUUAGAUACCCCGGUAGUCCUAGCUGUAAACGAUGGGCACUAAGUAGAGGGAAUUACCGAUGUUCUCUCUGCCGUAGCUAACGCAUUAAGUGCCCCGCCUGGGGAGUACGGCCGCAAGGCUAAAACUCAAAAGAAUUGACGGGGGCUCGCACAAGCGGUGGAGCAUGUGGUUUAAUUCGAUGCAACGCGGAGAACCUUACCGGGGCUUGACAUGGUAGAAGUAGGAACCCGAAAGGGUAACGAACGGUAUCCAGUCCGUAGCUAUCACAGGUGUUGCAUGGCUGUCGUCAGCUCGUGUCGUGAGACGUUGGGUUAAGUCCCCUAACGAGCGAAACCCUUGUUUUUAGUUGCCAGCGGGUUAUGCCGGGCACCCUAGAAAGACUGCCGUCGUCAAGACGGAGGAAGGUGGGGAUGACGUCGAGUCAUCAUGGCCCUUAUGCCCCGGGCUACACACGUGCUACAAUGGCCGGUACAAACGGAAGCGAAGCCGAGAGGUGAAGCGAAUCC
rnacentral:rRNA from 1 species